CAGGCAGUUGGGAGAGGAAUUUGGAGACAGGCUUGAGUUUGCCCAGCUUCAACAACCAGGAAGCUCCAUCGUGCCUGUGACUCCUACGUGCUGAGCAGUUCAGCUUCCCUUCAUUCCUAGAGGCAUGUCCUUCCAUGUUCAUGAGGACAACCCCAAACGUGGAAAAGAGACAACCACCACCCAAUCUUGCAUGCAGCAGCUCAAAUGACACCUGUCAUGCACACGGCUCCACAUAGGUGUGCCUUGUGAGCACGCUGGAGGCCACAGUCAAGCUGGAUCACCUUUCCCUUCACACCCAUCAACCCAACGAGAGAAGAAAGGCAUUCGUCUACAUGGGCUAUGGGAACGAGAGUGACAUAGUGGUCAAGUUCAGGGAAGACAAGGACACUGACCCAGUGGGACUUCUGAUGGACUGAUCCUGUGCAGGGUGUGAGACAGAACCACAGACAGACAGAGUGGCUAGGCUGUGGUCCACCAUGCUGUGAACAGUGACUCCCUGUGCCUGUGUGGCUCCAACUGCCACAGACAACAGCACUCUGCCAUCUCUUCCCUGAUGUGACAUACAGUAAAUGCCUUGAGUCAUCUUCAUGGAUUUUAGUCACAAUGGUGUAAAAGUAACCGAUGCCCAACACACAGGAGGGGCCUUUGGCUCAGUGAUCAGACAUGAAGGCAGAGGCCUGGAUUGGCUCUGGUGAGGCCUUCCUGAAGCAUAGCACUGUGGAGUUUCACAUCUGACAUCUCUCAACUCAGCCAUUGGUGGCAGAAAAAUCCAUAUCUUCAGGAGGGGUGUGUG